UUUCGAAUCUCCGCUUCAUGUCUCAUAUCAACCGAUCAACUUGAGUCUCAUAUUCUCAUUUUCUUCUGUCUCUUCUUCUUCCUUAUGAAAUAAAAAAUUAGAUGUCAAAUUAACCGAACCCCUCUAGGGAUAACUUCCGCUCAGGCUUGAUGGUUGAAUAUCUGCAACCAGGGCUUUCAAUUCUAUAUUAGUUGUGAUCUUUUAUAGGGUUUUAAUUGUAUGAAUAAAAAAAAAGGUAAAAUUUAUUGGUUUAUGGAUGCUGUUGAUCUAUUUAGCUUAAUUGGUUUUCUGUAGUUUUUGAUUCAUUGGGGGUAUUAGGUUUCGUAAUUGUAAAUUGAAAGCUAAUUCCAGUGACACUAACUGAAAAACACUUUUGGAUUACUUUGUGUGAAUGUGGGUUGCUUAUUUCAUCAGAAAAAAUGCAUCUUGGAGGGUGAAAAGGAUAAAAAAAUGUUUGUCUCGAUCCUAUGGUAGCUUAGUUGAAGUUUUUGUAUUCCUUUCUGUACAAUACUUUUGUUUUUGUUUAUCUCCUCUUUGAAGAAAAAAAGGUUCAUGUUGUUGCAGUAUAAAUUGCCUGCUUAAAGCAGAGAAUGAAAAAGAGAAAAGAGCAAGUGAAAUAAAUGGGUCAGAAAUAGGAGUAAAACAAGGGCUAAAAGGACCUGGGAGAGCUGAUGACAAAAGAGACGCAUAUUUCCAAUGUCUGGAUUUUCGCAGAUCCUUAAUAAUGUUGUGGAUUUCCUAAUUACUCUCAAGUCAUUCAACAUGAAGCAGAAAGUAGCUACCAGCUACUCCUCUAGAACAUACAUCUUACAGAUGUAGUAGGCUUCUUAAAAACCAUAACCAACAUCCAGCUGCUUCAGAGAGCCUGCGGACAAUCCAGCUAAACGCGCGAGAUUACAAUCUAAGGUGGAUGAAACUAAAGAGAAUGGAGCAGGAUUCAUUGGAUGUCCAUGUGAAUUGCUGAAUUGGUUGAAUCUAUCGUGCCUACCCAUUAUUAAGUUGGACCUCAAUUAGGAUUCUGAGAGGGCAUUUACAAUGCAACAAAACUGAGUGGUUAUUAUGUCUACCACAUGCAAUAAGAGCCACAGUACGAGACAACCAGGCCAGUCAGCAUUUGUUCCGAGGAUAUCGCUCCCUCCAACUAAGGUUGGCACACACGAUGAUGAUAAACAAGUCACCAGAGCAUAGUGGAAUUGCCUACAUGCAUAACGGCAAGGAGAUUAAGUUGUUGAUGCUAGAAAACGAGAAAGCAAUGCGUACGGCGAAUGUAAUAUAUUUCCGGAAGUUCUACUGUAAAAUAACUUAUCUGGGAUUUAUUUUAAUUGAGCAAUUUAGUGACUCUUUUGGAAUAAUUGACAAAUAAAUUUUUACUUCUGCGA